CAAUAGCGUAUAUUAAAGUUGUUGCGGUUAAAAAGCUCGUAGUUGGAUUUCGGGUGGGACGCAGCGGUCUCGCAUUGCGUUUGUACUGCUGCAGCCCUCCUUCUUGCCGGGGGCGGCCUCUCGGACUUCACUGUCUGGGGGUCAGAAUCGGCGAUGUUACUUUGAGUAAAUUAGAGUGUUCAAAGCAAGCUUACGCUCUGAAUAUAAUAGCAUGGGAUAACACGACAGGACUCUGGCCUAUCGUGUUGGUCUAUAGGACCAGAGUAAUGAUUAAGAGGGACAGUCGGGGGCAUUCGUAUUCCGUUGUCAGAGGUGAAAUUCUUGGAUUUACGGAAGACGAACAUCUGCGAAAGCAUUUGCCAAGGAUGUUUNCAUUG
rnacentral:rRNA from 1 species